GGUGUGGUAGCGCACGGAGCGCGUCUGCGUGCAGUCCGAACUCUCCGACCGUUCAGCAGAAGGUGCUCGUUCGACUCGGGCCCACGCCU